UACGUAGGGACCGAGCGUUGUCCGGAAUCAUUGGGCGUAAAGAGCGUGUAGGCGGCUUGUUAAGUCUUGCGUGAAAUCUCGGGGCUCAACCCCGAGCGGUCGUGAGAAACUGGCAGGCUAGAGUGCGGGAGAGGAGAGUGGAAUUCCUGGUGUAGCGGUGGAAUGCGCAGAUAUCAGGAGGAACACCGGUGGCGAAGGCGGUUCUCUGGGCAUUACCUGACGCUGAGGAGCGAAAGCGUGGGGAGCAAACAGG
rnacentral:rRNA from 1 species